rnacentral:lncRNA from 1 species
GUGUGACGGCUCAAGGGAAUUACUAGGACCAAGUGUCCUAAAAUUGAGGUGGGGUCCACCUCCUUUGCAAAACCCUAGGUGCCAUGUGUCAUCUAUUCUAACAUCUUGGGCCUAAACUAUUUUACCAAAAAUUGGCCCAUUGUUUACAAAUUUAAUUAAAACUAUCUNGACUACNAAGUUNCAAAGUAAUUAAAUUUGAAAUGUCCAUGUGAAGAGUCUUG